rfam:Lactobacillus curieae strain CCTCC M 2011381, complete genome.
AGAUAGCUUUGAUGUGAAAGGUUGCGACACACCCGGAUGCUUUGCCAUGGGUUUGGCGGUAAUUUUCACGGAGUUAGUCAUAUUUUUAAAAUAGACGA